ACUAAAAUAGUUUAAUGUAUAAAAAUAUUAGUCUUGUAAACUAAAGUUGUCUUUCUUUUAGUG
rnacentral:tRNA from 1 species